UUUUAAUGAUGAGCCUAACUAGCUCACUUUGAUCUUCUAAGAAGUUGUGAAAAUGUUGGAACAACUGAAAAAC